GAUUUCUGACGAAACUGCUAGCUGGCCCGCCACGUCAGUGUGUGAGUGCCGGCUUGGCGUUUGUCAUCCGUUCGAAUGAUAUGCGUGCUGCCCUUCACUGGGUUGGUACUGCAUGUUUUCGAUCUUUUACUUUGAAAAAAUUAGAGUGUUUCAAGCAGGCAUUUUUGCUAUGAAUACAUUAGCAUGGAAUAAUAAUCUAGGACUUUCGGUUCUAUUUUGUUGGUGUUCUGGAGCUGAAGUAAUGAUUGAUAGGGAUAGUUGGGGGUGCUAGUAUUCAGCGGCCAGAGGUGAAAUUCUCGGAUUCGCUGAAGACUAACUUAUGCGAAAGCAUU
rnacentral:rRNA from 1 species